UCUGCUUUCGUUCACUACAUACCAGCCAGUUCUUAGAAUAACUUCAUGAAUUCUGUGGUCACCCCUACGACAUCUGAUGCAGCCAAAAUGAAUGGAAAAUGAAACGCAGAAGCGCCAACCCUUGUUAUGAUAACAUAAAGGUUGAAUUUACUGCAGCUAAUCUGGCAAGCUAUACGACUCACGGAGAGACAUUUCCUCUUGUAUUCCCCCCACGGGGAAGAAUGCAAGGCCGCACAGAAGAUGUUUGGUUUACGGAAAAAAGAGCCAAAUGAGAGAUACGCAGUUUUGGUGUGGUGAAUGUGAGACAGCGUUGUGUAUAGAAGAAUGCUUCAAUGCGUACCAUACUCUGCUCAAAUUCUAAACCACCUGCUUCCAUUGCUGAGAUACUGGGCGCUCAUAUUAUAAGGUUACUGCUGAGUCUGCAACAAAUAAGAGCUACAAGUAAAGUAGACCCAGUGAAGAGAUGGGAAAGAACAUAUUAAAACCAGGGUCCAUUGUAUCUAAUGGUACUGUAUCAGGUGUUUUGUUCAAAAUGGUAACCUUUCUUAACAAAGACAGUGAGUGGUGACUGAAGAAAGACUGGUACAUAUAAGUAGUAGUUUUAAGAAUACUGAUACAGAUUUUAUUAAAAUUAAUUUUGAAUAUUA